rnacentral:rRNA from 1 species
AUUUUAUGGAGAGUUUGAUCCUGGCUCAGGAUGAACGCUGGCGGCGUGCCUAAUACAUGCAAGUCGAGCGAACGGACGAGAAGCUUGCUUCUCUGAUGUUAGCGGCGGACGGGUGAGUAACACGUGGAUAACCUACCUAUAAGACUGGGAUAACUUCGGGAAACCGGAGCUAAUACCGGAUAAUAUUUUGAACCGCAUGGUUCAAAAGUGAAAGACGGUCUUGCUGUCACUUAUAGAUGGAUCCGCGCUGCAUUAGCUAGUUGGUAAGGUAACGGCUUACCAAGGCAACGAUGCAUAGCCGACCUGAGAGGGUGAUCGGCCACACUGGAACUGAGACACGGUCCAGACUCCUACGGGAGGCAGCAGUAGG